GUGUCAGCAGCCGCGGUAAUACGAAGGAUUCGAGCGUUAUCCGGAUUUAUUGGGUUUAAAGGGUGCGUAGGCGGACUGAUAAGUCAGUGGUGAAAGCCUGUUGCUUAACAACAGAACUGCCAUUGAUACUGCCAGUCUUGAGUACAGUUGAGGUAGGCGGAAUGUGUCAUGUAGUGGUGAAAUACUUAGAUAUGACACAGAACACCGAUUGCGAAGGCAGCUUGCUAAACUGUAACUGACGCUGAGGCACGAAAGCAUGGGGAGCAAACAGGAUUAGAAACCCCUGUAGUCC
rnacentral:rRNA from 1 species